rnacentral:tRNA from 1 species
AUUUAUAUAGUUUAAAAAACAUUACAUUUUCAAAGUAAAGAUAAAAAUCAUUUUUUAUAAAUA